rnacentral:rRNA from 1 species
GCGCACGCUGGCGGCAGGCUUCACACCUGCAAGUCGCGCGGGCAUCCUUGUGGUGUCAGCGGCAGACGGGUGAGUAACGCGUGGGAACGUGCCCUUCGGUUCGGAAUAACUCAGGGAAACUUGAGCUAAUACCGGAUACGUGCGAGAGCAGAAAGGUUUAUCUGCCGAAGGAUCGGCCCGCGUCUGAUUAGCUAGUUGGUGAGGUUAUGGCUCACCAAGGCGACGAUCAGUAGCUGGUCUGAGAGGAUGAUCAGCCACACUGGGACUGAGACACGGCCCAGACUCCUACGGGAGGCAGCAGUGGGGAAUAUUGGACAAUGGGGGCAACCCUGAUCCAGCCAUGCCGCGUGAGUGAUGACGGCCUUAGGGUUGUAAAGCUCUUUUCUUCGGGACGAUAAUGACGGUACCGGAGGAAUAAGCCCCGGCUAACUUCGUG